AAAAGCGCGCACACACAGACGCACGCGCACACCUCACUCUCUUUCACACACACACACACACACCCCUGACACUCUCCUCCUCAUCAGUCAUCUCUCUCGCUCUCUCCCUUUUAUUAUUAUUACCCCCUCCCUCCCUCCGUCUUUCGCGUUAGCCCAGCCAUGUUUCGUCGUGUGCCGACGCGCGUGUUGCCCACUGCGUGCAGUGCGGCCCACAACGUGAGCCUCCGCUUCUGCCUCAGCAUCAAAGUACCCACAAUUGCCGAGUCCAUCAGUACGGGUAAGGUUGUGAACUGGGCGAAGAAGGUCGGCGACGCCGUCGCCGAAGACGAAGUAAUUUGCCAGAUCGAGUCGGACAAGCUCAACGUCGACGUGCGUGCGCCGGCGAACGGCGUCAUUACGAAGAUCAAUUUCGAGGAGGGCGCUGAUGUCGAGGUCGGCGCGGAACUGUCCACGAUGAAGGAGGGCCCCGCGCCAGCGGCAACUGCACCGAAGGCUGCGGAAGUCAAGUUGGACGCACCCAAGGCGGAGCCGCCGAAGGCUGCAGCCCCAGCUGCUGCGGCGCCUGCGGCUCCUGCCGCACCUGUCGUCGCCGCCAAGCCCGCGAUGCACACCAUGGCCGGCGCUGACCCGCGCACGAAGAGCGUCCGCAUCUCCUCGAUGCGCCGCCGCAUCGCUGACCGCCUCAAGGCCAGCCAGAACACGUGCGCCAUGCUGACCACCUUCAAUGAGAUCGACAUGACACCGCUGUUCCAGCUGCGCGACAAGUACAAGGACGAGUUCCACAAGCGCCAUGACGUGAAGCUGGGACUGAUGUCGCCCUUCGUGAAGGCGAGCGCGAUUGCGCUCAAGGAUGUGCCGAUCGUGAACGCAUCCUUUGGCAAGGACACCAUUGACUACCACGAGUUCGUAGAUAUCGCGAUCGCCGUGGCGACGCCGCGCGGCCUCGUCGUGCCCGUAAUCCGUGAUGUGCAGAACAUGAACUUGGCAAACAUCGAGACCGCCAUCGCCGACUACGCCGCGCGUGCGCGCAUCAACAAGCUGACCAUGGCUGAGAUGACUGGAGGCACCUUCACCAUCUCCAACGGCGGCGUCUUCGGAUCUUGGAUGGGCACGCCGAUCAUCAACCCUCCGCAUAGCGCCAUCCUUGGCAUGCACGCCAUCAAGAAAAAACCGUGGGUGGUGGGCAACGAGAUCAAGAUCCGCGACAUCAUGGCGGUCGCUCUGACCUACGACCACCGCCUUAUCGACGGUAGCGACGCGGUGACCUUCCUCGUGAAGGUGAAGAAUCUGAUUGAGGACCCGGCGCGUAUGGUGCUGGACCUCUCGUAGGCGCCGCAGACCUGCCGGGUGCGCGUGCGGAGAGCGAGAGGCGGCGGCAUCGAUGGUGGUAGAGAUAGGCAUGAGGGCGGAGAGAAGGGGAGUGGGUAGGAUAAGCCGCACCACUUUUUCUAGAGGUUUGCCGUUCCUUUUCUCCCUGUUGGCGUUCUGCCCGCUACGCUCGGCAGCCUCCACGCCCUCCGCCUGCCCGCAAGUCCGAAACACGCGCACACACCCUUCUCCUCACCUCUCUUCUAGCACCUAUCCCGUGUAUGUAUAUGUCUGUCUGUAUGUAUGCGACGAUGCUCGAAUGUGUCUCUCUGGGUUCAUUGGUUGUGUGCGUGUGUGUGUGUGUGUGUGUCUACCCUUCCCUCUUGCCUGUCCGCUCGUUAAUGACUCCGCCCCCUUUUUUUUGUGGUGGCUGAAAACAUGUUUCUCUUCUUGUUUCGGUGCCUCCUACCCUCCCUCCCUCCCUCUUUCCUGCCCGCCUGCCCGCUUGUGUGUGUGUGUGUGUCCGUGCCUGCCCCCUUUAGUUCUUCCCUCUCUUUCAGUUUUGUUUCACUUCUGUGGGCUCUUUCUUCAUUGACUUUCUUUCGCCGACUCACUGUGCUGGUUCGUGCGUGUGCCUAUGUCUGUGUGCUAUGGGGGCGAGGAUGGGUGCGCACGUUGCUGUGCAUGAUAACAGGCGUUCUCGCCUUCUCACCGCGUUCCAUCUCGUGAUGGCCGCCACGCAUCUUUUUCCCCAUCUUGCCUGUUCCUCUCUGUAUUCUUGUCGCUGUCGUGCUUGCUCGUGCGCCUGUGGAAUGCGCAGGGGGAGGGCAGGAAGGACGGGGCUCGACAACGUGCGCUUCUCCUCGUCCUAGACACACGUGCUCUGUCUCUCUCUCCAUCGGUUGCUGCUCAUGCGUUUUCCUUUGCGCAUGCAGUGCUGGGCGUUUUUCCUUGUUUCUUUUCACAGAGACGCAGGAUGGAGAGGCAGCGCAACGCAUCCGCGUGCUCGUGUGCUUAAAGUACGCUUCUGCGUCAUGGAGCACGCAAGACAGUGCACGAGGCGGGGAGGGGAUGCAGAUUCAGUCGAGGAAGGCGCGCGUAUGUAUGGGGGAGGGAGGAGGGAGGGUAUGGACUGCUCGCUGAGGAUGGCGCGUUGUGCUUGGCGAACAAAAAGAGCUGAAAGAGAGGAGGGAAUAAGCAAGUAAAACGGGAAAAAACAAGUAGAUGAGAACAGUGCACUUUUUUAUGGAACUAAAGCAACGCACGCACACGCACACAGAGGCACACAGACGCAACGCCGAUCGCGUGCCUCAAGUGCCAUGAGGCAAAAAAAAACAAAAGGAACAACAACAACGAACACACGUACACACACACGCAGCAAGGGAGCAUGCCGUAAAGGUUGCACGGCGGAGAAGGUGGUGUGGUGUGGGGGAGGAGGGAGGGAGGCCAAAGGGGAAAAAGGAAAUGCCUCUAAGAACGAGCGACAGGAAAAGAAAACGUUGCGACUGGCCGCUCUUCUCUUCCUCCCCGCCGCUCGUUGUAUCUCUCUCACACCCUCGAAGACGGCGAAGCCGCCGCAGAGAAGAGGAGACAGAGAGGAGGCAAAUAUGGAAGAGGCGGAGAGCGAGAAGGCCUAUGAGAGGGGUCGUGUCUGUAUGUCUUCAUGCUGUGCUGUUUUUUGUGUAAUGCUGGCGUAUUGUUGUAGUUGCGCGCGUGUGUAUGCAACUGUGUAUGUAGGAGUGCGUAUGUGCCUCUGGUUCUUCACCCCUUAGCCCGCCUUCUUCCCUCUUUUUCGAGGUGUCAAGUCCGCCCUCGCCUUCGUGCGUGCCCGCCUCUUUUCAGUGGCCCCCUUUUUUGGCUUUCAUUCCUGUGUCGCGGGUGGGCGUGCGAGUGCGCGUGUGUGUGUCGCAAGUACGCGUCUCUCUGUGUUCGUUCUAUGCGCCUCUGCAGCUCUCUUUGCCCUCUCUCGACCGCGGCCGUUUCUCCUUGUUAG
rnacentral:misc_RNA from 1 species